AGUGAACGCUGGCGGUAGGCCUAACACAUGCAAGUCGAACGGCAGCACAGUAAGAGCUUGCUCUUACGGGUGGCGAGUGGCGGACGGGUGAGGAAUACAUCGGAAUCUACUUUUUCGUGGGGGAUAACGUAGGGAAACUUACGCUAAUACCGCAUACGACCUACGGGUGAAAGCAGGGGAUCUUCGGACCUUGCGCGAUUGAAUGAGCCGAUGUCGGAUUAGCUAGUUGGCGGGGUAAAGGCCCACCAAGGCGACGAUCCGUAGCUGGACUGAGAGGAUGAUCAGCCACACUGGAACUGAGACCAGGACCAGACUCCUACGGGAGGCAGCAGUGGGGAAUAUUGGACAAUGGGCGCAAGCCUGAUCCAGCCAUACCGCGUGGGUGAAGAAGGACUUAGGGUUGUAAAGCCCUUUUGUUGGGAAAGAAAAGCAGCAGGUUAAUACCCCGCUGUUCUGACGGUACCCAAAGAAUAAGCACCGGCUAACUACGUG
rnacentral:rRNA from 1 species